ACUCGAGUGGCGAACGGGUGAGUAACACGUGGGUGAUCUGCCCUGCACUUCGGGAUAAGCUUGGGAAACUGGGUCUAAUACCGGAUAGGAGCCAUCCUUAGUGUGGUGGUUGGAAAGUUUUUCGGUGUAGGAUGAGCUCGCGGCCUAUCAGCCUGUUGGUGGGGUAAUGGCCUACCAAGGCGGCGACGGGUAGCCGGCCUGAGAGGGUGUACGGCCACAUUGGGACUGAGAUACGGCCCAG
rnacentral:rRNA from 1 species